GUCCUUCUUCUGUAAACAAAGCUUCAUUCACAUCAACACUCGAUUCAUUAUUCAAACUCAGAAAUGCCAACAAAAGGUUAGAUCUAUAUGUUUGGAAAGAAAAAACGUUACUGUAAGCCCAGAGGAAGACAUGCUUCAAAGACAAAUGCAUAAUUACAAAGCUCUGUUUUGGGUGCAGCUGAACGAAAAAUAAUUCUAACUGCAAUUACUAACGCUGAUAACACCAAUAAGAGGCUGCCUGAAGAUUUCAUAUACGUCAUGAUGAAUUCAAUGGAAUUGACCACAAUGGUGUCCUUGUUGUGCUGUCCACAUUGCUUCGACAAAAAAUUAACCAUGUGCAUCACACAAUCAAAAGGCAUGGCUCAUUUGAUUAAAAUCAAAUGCCUAAAUUGUGAAACAUAUUUGUGGCCUGACUGGACCUAAAAAAAAGUAAUAAUGUUCAUCUGGAUAUUAAUGUCCGCGCUGUCGCUGCAUUAAAAGAAUCUGGAAUCUCGCAUUCUAAAUUUGAUAGGUUUUGUGGACUUAUGAGUAUGCCCUGCAUGCACAGAAAUACUUAUAACAAUCUAGCUAACAUAGUCAACACUGCUAUAAUUGAAGCUGGUGAAGAAUGUAUGAUUAGGGCAUCUGCUGUUGUGCAUGGAAGAAACAUUUCACAACCUCUGACUACAGAUGAUAGAAUAAGUUCAACAGGCUGUCCUGUUAUUACAGUUUCUUUUGAUGGGACUUGGCAUAAAAGGGGCCACUCAUCUCAUUCAGGACUAAAUUUUGAUGCCUCUAAGCAUAUGUGUCAAAAAAACUUCAGUGGCUCAGCAAAUGCAAUGGAGGCCGCAGCAGCAUCCAAAAUUUGUUCUCACUCUGUGGCAUCAGAAAACUUGUUUAUGGCAUGAUGCUGUGUGAUGGCGAUAGUAAAUCACAUUCCUCUGCCAUUACCAACUCAGGAUAUGAUGUAGAAAUCUUAAAAGAGGACUGCAUUAACCACAUCUCAAAAAGAAUGUUUAAUGCUUUGAACAAUUUAAAAAUGUCUAACAAAAAAGAACUAAAUUAUAGGCUUACAAAGCCAAAAAUUGAAAAAAUUACAAAUAACUAUUCCAAAGUUCUGCGCCAAAAUGCUCCUGACAUUCAAAAAAAUGCAGCUGGCUGUUAUGGGCUCAUUUUUUCAUAUGAUGAGCUCAGACCUAGAUCAUAACCACAGGUUGUGUCCUGAUGGCACUACAUCUUGGUGUCACACUUUAAGAGAUCAGAGGCACUAAAACAGCCAUACAAAAAACAUAAUCAGACCAUCACAUCAGAAAUAGGAAAACUGUUAUUUCCUAUAACAGACACAGAUCUGUUAAAAACAUGUUCAAGAAUGGGAACACAAAACGCCAAUGAAUUGAGCAUGAGCACCGGGCAGAGGUUCUAGAAGGUCCAAUCUAUCAAUCAGGCCAUUUUAAUGAAUAGUUUUUUUAUCUAUUAUGUUAUAUUAUGUAAAUAUUCCCUUUUUUUUUUCAUUUUUAUGGUUGCAAUAAAUAUUUUAUAUCAUUUUAAAAACUUUAAA